ACAAGCGGAGGAGCAUGUGGUUAAUUCGAUGAUACGCGAGGAACUACCUGGGCUCGAACGUAAGAUGACUGUAGGUGAAAGCUUACAUCUCUUCGGAGCAUUUUACGAGGUGCUGCAUGGUUGUCGUCAGCUCGUGCCGUGAGGUGUCGGGUUAAGUCCCAUAACGAGCGCAACCCCUACCUUAGUUGCCAUCAGGUUAAGCUGGGGACUCUAAAGGAACUGCCUACGCAAGUAGUGAGGAAGCGGGGAUGACGUCAAAUCAGCACGGCCCUUACGCCCAGGGCUACACACGUGCUACAAUGGCCGAUACAGAGGGCAGCUACCUGGUGACAGGAUGCAAAUCUCCAAAGUCGGUCUCAGUUCGGAUCGGAGUCUGCAACCCGACUCCGUGAAGUUGGAUUCGCUAGUAAUCGCGCAUCAGCCAUGGCGCGGUGAAUACGUUCCCGGGCCUU
rnacentral:rRNA from 1 species